rnacentral:rRNA from 1 species
UGGGGAAUUUUGGACAAUGGACGCAAGUCUGAUCCAGCCAUGCCGCGUGCGGGAAGAGGCCUUCAGGGUUGUAAACCGCUUUUUGUCAGGGAAGAAAAGUCUGGGGCUAAUAUCCUCGGAUGAUGACGGUACCUGAAGAAUAAGCACCGGCUAACUACGUGCCAGCAGCCGCGGUAAUACGUAGGGUGCAAGCGUUAAUCGGAAUUACUGGGCGUAAAGCGUGCGCAGGCGGUUCUAUAAGACAGAUGUGAAAAUCCCCGGGCUCAACCUGGGAAGCUGCAUUUGUGACUGUAGAGCUGGAGUACGGCAGAGGGGGAUGGAAUUCCGCGUGUAGCAGUGAAAAUGCGUAGAUAUGCGGAGGAACACCGAUGGCGAAGGCAAUCCCCUGGGCCUGUACUGACGCUCAUGCACGAAAAGCGUGGGGGAGCAAAACA